UACGAAGGGGGCUAGCGUUGCUCGGAAUCACUGGGCGUAAAGGGUGCGUAGGCGGGUCUUUAAGUCAGGGGGGAAAUCCUGGAGCUCAACUCCAGAACUGCCUUUGAUACUGAAGAUCUUGAGUUCGGGAGAGGUGAGUGGAACUGCGAGUGUAGAGGUGAAAUUCGUAGAUAUUCGCAAGAACACCAGUGGUGAAGGCGGCUCACUGGCCCGAUACUGACGCUGAGGAGCGAAAGCGUGGGGAGCGAACAGG
rnacentral:rRNA from 1 species